rnacentral:rRNA from 1 species
UACGAAGGGUGCAAGCGUUACUCGGAAUUACUGGGCGUAAAGGGUGCGUAGGCGGUUCGUUAAGUCUGUCGUGAAAUCCCCGGGCUCAACCUGGGAAUGGCGGUGGAUACUGGGCAGCUAGAGUGUGUCAGAGGAUGGUGGAAUUCCCGGUGUAGCGGUGAAAUGCGUAGAGAUCGGGAGGAACAUCAGUGGCGAAGGCGGCCAUCUGGGACAACACUGACGCUGAAGCACGAAAGCGUGGGGAGCAAACAGG